GAUGAACGCUAGCGGGAGGCCUAACACAUGCAAGCCGAGCGGUAGAGUUUCUUCGGAAACUUGAGAGCGGCGCACGGGUGCGUAACACGUGUGCAACCUACCUUUAUCUGGGGAUAGCCUUUCGAAAGGAAGAUUAAUACCCCAUAAUAUAAUGAUUGGCAUCAAUUAUUAUUGAAAACUCCGGUGGAUAGAGAUGGGCACGCGCAAGAUUAGAUAGUUGGUGAGGUAACGGCUCACCAAGUCAAUGAUCUUUAGGGGUCCUGAGAGGGAGAUCCCCCACACUGGUACUGAGACACGGACCAGACUCCUACGGGAGGCAGCAGUGAGGAAUAUUGGACAAUGGGUGAGAGCCUGAUCCAGCCAUCCCGCGUGAAGGAUGACGGCCCUAUGGAUUGUAAACUUCUUUUGUACAGGGAUAAACCUACCCUCGUGAGGGUAGCUGAAGGUACUGUACGAAUAAGCACCGGCUAACUCCGUG
rnacentral:rRNA from 1 species